rnacentral:tRNA from 1 species
UGCCCUAUGGUGUAGCGAUUAGCACAAGAGGCUCUAACCCUCCUGGUCCGGGUUUGACUCCUGGUAGGGCUACUAA